GAUGAACGCUGGCGGCGUGCCUAACACAUGCAAGUCGAACGGAAAGACAGUAAGAGUGUGCCCUUACGGGUGGCGGGGGGCGGGCGGGUGAGGAAUGCAUCGGAAACUUCUUUUUCGGGGGGGAUAACGGGGGGCCAGUUACGAUAACACCGCAUACGAUGUACGGGUGAGAGCAGUGGAUAUUGGGGGCUUGUGCGGCUGAAUGAGCUGAUGUCGGAUUAGCUAGUUGGGGGGGUAACGGCCCAGCAAGGCGACGAUCCGUAGCCGGUCUGAGAGGAUGAUCGGCCACACUGGAACUGAGACACGGUCCAGACUCCUACGGGAGGCAGCAGUGGGGAAUGUUGGGCAAUGGGCGCAAGCCUGACCCAGCCACGCCGCGUGGGUGAAGAAGGCCUUCGGGUCGUAAAGCCCUUUUGUUGGGGAAGAACAGCUGCGUAUUAAUCCCCGGCUGUUCUGACGGUACCUAAUGAAUAAGCACCGGCUAACUACGUG
rnacentral:rRNA from 1 species